rnacentral:tRNA from 1 species
GGUUCCUUAGCUCAAUCGGGAGAGCGUCGGUUUGUCAAACCGAAGGCAGCGGGAUCGAAACCCGCAGGAACCGCCA